UACGUAGGGGGCAAGCGUUGUCCGGAAUCAUUGGGCGUAAAGAGCGUGUAGGCGGCCAGAAAAGUCCGCUGUGAAAACUCGAGGCUCAACUUCGAGCUGUCGGUGGAAACUUUCUGGCUAGAGUCCGGAAGAGGAGAGUGGAAUUCCUGGUGUAGCGGUGAAAUGCGCAGAUAUCAGGAAGAACACCCGUGGCGAAGGCGGCUCUCUGGGACGGUACUGACGCUGAGACGCGAAAGCGUGGGGAGCGAACAGG
rnacentral:rRNA from 1 species